rnacentral:rRNA from 1 species
GACGAGCGCUGGCGGCGUGCUUAACACAUGCAAGUCGAACGGAAAGGCCCUGCUUUUGUGGGGUGCUCGAGUGGCGAACGGGUGAGUAACACGUGAGUAACCUGCCCUUGACUUUGGGAUAACUUCAGGAAACUAGGGCUAAUACCGGAUAGGAGCUCCUGCUGCAUGGUGGGGGUUGGAAAGUUUCGGCGGUUGGGGAUGGACUCGCGGCUUAUCAGCUUGUUGGUGGGGUAGUGGCUUACCAAGGCUUUGACGGGUAGCCGGCCUGAGAGGGUGACCGGCCACAUUGGGACUGAGAUACGGCCCAGACUCCUACGGGAGGCAGCAGUGGGGAAUAUUGCACAAUGGGCGGAAGCCUGAUGCAGCAACGCCGCGUGCGGGAUGACGGCCUUCGGGUUGUAAACCGCUUUCGCCUGUGACGAAGCGUGAGUGACGGUAAUGGGUAAAGAAGCACCGGCUAACUACGUG